UAGGGAAUCUUCCGCAAUGGACGCAAGACUGACGGAGCAACGCCGCGUGAGUGAAGAAGGAUUUCGGUUCGUAAAACUCUGUUGUUAGAGAAGAACAGCGCAUAGAGUAACUGUUAUGCGUGUGACGGUAUCUAACCAGAAAGCCACGGCUAACUACGUGCCAGCAGCCGCGGUAAUACGUAGGUGGCAAGCUUUGUCCGGAUUUAUUGGGCGUAAAGCGAGCGCAGGCGGUUAGAGAAGUCUGAAGUUAAAGGCAGUGGCUCAACCAUUGUAUGCUUUGGAAACUGUUUAACUUGAGUGCAGAAGGGGAGAGUGUAAUUCCAUGUGUAGCAGUAAAAUGCGUAGAUAUAUGGAGGAACACCGGUGGCAAAAGCGGCUCUCUGGUCUGUAACUGACGCUGAGGCUCGAAAGCGUGGAGAGCGAACAUG
rnacentral:rRNA from 1 species